AGAACUGAUUUCUUGAUUGGUGGAAUGAAGGAGUAACGCCCUGAAACGCCUCUCUAAUACUCCGACAUGCCUUAUUAAUGGUUAAAUUGUAGGGUGUGAAGCUCGGUGAAGUCGGCUGAAGAUUACCGUAAGGCUCUUUAUAUAAGAGUACACGAAAGCUGGUCAGCGGUGGAUGGUGUAAUUCAUAGGCCGGGAGUCCAUAAA
rnacentral:ncRNA from 1 species